rnacentral:rRNA from 1 species
UACGGAGGGUGCAAGCGUUGUCCGGAUUUAUUGGGUUUAAAGGGUGCGUAGGCGGCUAAUUAAGUCAGCGGUGAAAUUCCACAGCUCAACUGUGGAACUGCCAUUGAUACUGGUUGGCUUGAGUACAGAUGAGGUAGGCGGAAUUGACAGCGUAGCGGUGAAAUGCUUAGAUAUUGUCAAGAACACCUAUUGCGAAGGCAGCUUACUAAGCUGUAACUGACGCUGAGGCACGAAAGCGUGGGUAGCAAACAGG